AUCUUAGAUUUGUACAUAUAAAUGUUAGAUACUACUCUAUUUCUCUACCUUUGUCCUCAGGUCCUCUAGAAGGCAAAGAGAAGAAAGUAGUGAAUUCUUAGAAUAUAGGAUAAACACGUUUCAUUCAAACUAUUUGGAAUUUCUCAUUAAGUUCUGCUCUUGUGUAGAUUCUCUCACAUUCUGAUUCUGUUCAAACAAGUUCUUACAUAUGUGCCUGAUGAAAAAGUUUCUAUCUUUGUCCAUUUUUUUUUUCUUUUUAAUAAAUCUAACUUUUUUUUUUUGCAUUUGCAACACUGUAACUACAUUUAUGCAAAAUUUAAUUUGUAAACAUUGGUGAAAUUAAUUCACAAUAUUCUGUGGACUUGUCUAUCCUCAUUUUUCUUUUCUUUUCUUUUGUUCUGUUUUUUGCUUUUCUGCUGAAGACCUUAUAGUCAUCUUACUUAGAAGAGAAACUGGGCGCUUGACUGUUUUGAUUAAGAUGGGAGUUAUUUAAUUUUGUUGAAUGUUGCCAUCUAUAGCUAUUUGUUGGCAGAAAAAAAUACUUUUUUUUUUUUUCCUAUAAAUAUCCAGGAAAAUUGAAAUGGGCUUUGCACUGGGUUAAUGGAAGGUAUUUGUCAAAUGUAUAAGGGCAAAAAUAUUUAGUUGUGCUGCAAGAAUGUAUGCUAAGAGAACAGAUGGAUUUGAUCUUAUGUCACCUUUCCUUUCAAAUGUCACUGUUACAUCAUGAUAUCAUCAGAGUGGUCUGCGCUCUUGGACAGGGUCUCAAAUGAUUGCUUUCAUCAACUAGCUGAUGAAGCACAUUUCUGCCACACCCAGAAAUGGGGUGGAGUGGUUGUGAAGAGCACAACCAAUGGAUAGGCACUUCACCUGGCCAAGGUGGAAGGCAGAGGCAGAUAUUCUCAAACAGGAGAUACCUUCCAGCAUUCAAGUUUUUUUCAGAUGGCCUUCUGAGACCUUCAGAAAAGCUCUCACUGCAGUGGAAGUUGAGACACACAGAACUUUUUGUUAUGGUAAGUACUUUCUCAGUUACUGGGAAUGGUACUGACAGUUAUCGUGAUAUUAUUACAUAAGAAAGUGGUUAUACAGAAUGGAAAUCACCUUCCAAAAUUU
rnacentral:lncRNA from 1 species